AUGGUGCUGACUCGCUCACAGCAGCACUGUCCACCUCCACCCCUGCCGUCCAGCAAGGCCAGAGACUCCUGGAGGCCCCUUGGGGCCAGGGAGGCCACCCCCACUGGGCAGCCCUGCCCGAUUACAAAUGACAAUGUCACCAGCGCUGGUCAGAGGCUUUCCGGGUGCUGUGCUUCGUCGUUUGUAGCACCCGGCAGCCAGGGAAGCACGGGAGCAGGCACACAGCGUCUGGAAGGCUCUGCACACGUGCUCUUCUGCUCCUCGAAGGUCUUCGGAGGCUGCGAGCUGACUGCACAUAAACCACCACAGCCACCACGUUCCUGGGGGCACAGUCCACUUCCCUCCACGCCCGGCACACGGGGGAUGCAUCUGUGUAAGCAUCAAGACCUCAGCACCCCCGAGGGGCCCCAGGAGGGUGGGCACCUGCAGCCAGCCUCGAGGGCAGGCCCUGCUGUCACCUCCUGGCCCAGGGGAUCCCUCCCUGUCCACAGGGUAAGCAAAGGUGGGCUGGCCGCUCAGCACAGUGACACAGGCUGCGGCUCACCAGCUGGCCCUCUCCAGGGCAUAGCCCUGUGGCAGGAAACGCGCCCUGUCAUGCAGCCAUCACCCCUGCAACUUCUGUCUUCCCACCGAAAUCCCGGUCCAGGUAAACACUGCCCACCCACCCCACCCCCAUCCCGCCCCACUGCCCACCACCCUGCUCCCUGUGUCCGAGCACUUGACUGCUCUGGGGGCUGGUGGCGGUGGGGCCUGUGCAGACAGGCCCUGUGA
rnacentral:lncRNA from 1 species